rnacentral:misc_RNA from 1 species
GUAGGUGAACCUGCGGAAGGAUCAUUACCGAGUUAGGGUCUUUCAGGCCCGACCUCCAACCCCCUGUUUAAACUACCAUGUUGCUUUGGCGGGCCCGCCCCUUUUGGGGCCGCCGGGGGUUUCAUUGCCCUUGGCCAGUGCUCGCCAGUAGCCUACCUACAUUCUUUAUAUAACUGUGAUGUCUGAAGAUAAAUAUAAAUCGUUAAAAACUUUCAACAACGGAUCUCUUGGUUCUG